GAGAAUGUCGUCUAAUGGUUAAGACAGUUGCCUUUUAAGCCAUUAAUAUUGGUUCAAUUCCAAUCUUUCUCA
rnacentral:tRNA from 1 species